CUUCUUCAAUGUCCUCCCCACAACGCAACCCCCCGCCGCCCGAUUCUGCCCUCCCUUUUCUCCGCUUCCCUCUUGGCAGAGGUGCCAAAGUGGGCAGGCAGACCGAGGCAAUCGCAUCACGGGGCAGAGCAGAGGGCGAACCAAAAGCUGGCGAAUUGAUCAUGUGUGUGUUUGUGUUUUGGUCUGUCCUCGCUCUCUUUCUGUAUGUGUCUGUUCCUAAGUUAGACUCUGCUUUGGUGACACGCAGCUGCAAGUAAGGACUGUGUGAGAGCAGACGUCCCUCUGUUACUCUCUGUACGGACGGACGUGCUCACGCCAGUAGGAGGGGAUUGUGGGAAAGGGGGUGUAGCUCUCAGAGGGUGCGCUCUACUCCUCUCGCUUCCCUUCUUCCCGCCAUCACGGCCCUCUUUUCAGCCAGUCGUCCGGCCCAGCCAGCCCGUCCGCCCGCCCGCCUCACCACAUACAGGCCUCAGGUGUCUAUUUGGAGGCUGGCGUUAGGAAUGGCAGGCCGUCUUGGUCACGUCUGACCCAAGAGGGUCGACUCAGCUAGACAGCCCCGGUCAGUAAAAGUUAACCGCUGAUCAACCAGUGGAAAAUCUUGUUCCUCGCCGCCAUUUUGAUAGCUAGCACAAAAAUAAUGACCCUGCACAUUAUUCCACUGCAAACCUGUGUGCACUGUCUCAAUGCUACAACUGUGAAGUGGCACCAGACUCAACACCACGUGCAUUUGUGCAAACAUGCGCUUAGUUUUAUCUCUCUGAAAUGCAGGGGUGUGGCAGUUCGCUAAAGGUCGGGUGUUUGUCCUGAAACAUUAACUCAGUCGAUAACAUAUAAAUAUCUAUGACACAGUUACAGAUGAAGGGAAACAUGCAGUAAUGAAAAUGAGUUCAAGUCGAUACUGGUAUGUCAAAAAGACUGCAAGUUCUUCUUUUUAGCUGUUAACAGUAAAGCAAAAGAUCAUCUGCUUUCAUAAUGAAAAAAAUAUCCUUUAUACACAGAGUCAUGUCUGUUUGUCUACUUCCUAAAAAUAGCCAUGAGAUUAAUGUUUAACUAUUAAGAACACCAAAACACGUCAGGCACCAGAAUAAGUUAAAAACGUGCAAAUACAGAUGCACGUUUUUAACGUGCAUCAGGAAAAGUUAAUUAACAAACAGCUUUUCUAUACUUACUUGCAGAACUAUAACGAAGUAUCGACAUGCAAAGUUUAGACUGUAUUUGAAUAUCCUAUUACCUUACUGUAUCUAGGUCUAAAUAGGGGUUGGCGUUAAAAUGGCGCCUACAUGCCACGUGUAAACACGAGCAGACCCUUUCAACAUGCCCCUCACAAUUCGUGGUUAAGCUGUUGCCAGUUUCUUUUCAUCAGGUUUUGCUAUUUCACUUUGCUUUGCAAUAAUUUAGGCUGCAAACUAAUGCUCACAAAUGUUAGCUAAUCAAUAAAAGAAACACUUUCAUUGGGGCAACUGAAAUAAGAGGAUCAUUUUAAAAAAGUAGUUUGAGAAAAAUAGAGAACAAGAGUUACAGUAGAGAGGCAGAAAGAGAGAGGUAGGAGUGGGAGAGCUCUUUCCCCGCCCCUCUCUUAUCCUCAGAUGAACUUAUCGUGUUGCCUCAUAAUGUUUCUGAGCUUUUUUCUCCUACAGGCAGUCAGGCUAACUUCCUGCAUUCAGCCUCAGCUCAGUUGAUUGGCUGAUAUCUUGGCUGACCGGCCACAGUUUGCAGCGAGGCAACAGGAAGUUUUUCUUCUCAUGCAGGAAGCUGCAGCUGUUUCAUCCUGACAUACACCACUUUGCACUUUUGCACGCUUCUGAAAAAAAAAAAAAAAACAGAAACAUGCACGCAAAUGCACACACCCGUUUUGAAAAGGAAUACCUGCCUAUAUGUGCUUUAUAUAUAUAUCUAUAUCUAUCUAUAUCUAUAUCUGUGUGUGUGUAUCAAGGCUGCAUGUGCAUGCAUGUUUAUAGAAUUUGUAAAUGCUUUAACAUGUAGGCGUGUAAUGACAAGUCAGAUAAGCACUGUUAGGCAUCAGAAACAUUUGAAACCAUGGUAACGUCACAUCUAAAUGGGGGAAAAAUUUAUAAAUUGAAAACCCUGAGAGAGGAAAGGAAGUGUAAAUGGAGAAGGCUAAAGUAUUAAAUGUUUUUAAAAGUUCUGAUGUGUAAAGGAAGAAAUAAACUUUUAAAGUAGGAGCAAACUGUUGUCAGAUGGCAUUAAUGGUAUAAUUAGAUGCCCGUUUAUUCUUCAUUAGAUUUUGGGACAUAUGCCUUAACCUACUUGAAACAUUUUAGUGUGUAUUUACUAUAUAUUUGAAUUAACUAUCACUAAGCCAAGUUAUUAAUAGACAUUGGCUGAAGUGAGGUUUUCAUGGCAUAAUAGCUUUGUGAAAAAUACCACAGUUUCAUGGUAUAAACUCAAUGUUUUAAAGCUAAAACAUGUCACAUCGUAAAUUUGAAUUAUAAAUUAAACUCUAAUCUGUUCAGUUAUGGGUGAGGCCUCUUUAACCCUCACACUUUGACUGUCCAUGUUGUUUACAUCCAUAAACAUUUCCAAACCGCCAUAUUUGUCCACUUUAGCAGCAAUGAAAAUGUGGAUUAGCCUUCAUUCCACCAGACGAUUGGCAGGCAACAGACUGUAUUACUCUUUGAUCCGUACAGAAAAAUUGUGUAAAAUUUGGCUGUUACCCAACAUUUUAAACACAAUUUUAUUUUUGUCAAGCUCAAAGUUGUCUUAAGAAGAGCUAUGUAGCUCGUAAACUGUUGUCGGACUGACUAACAAUUUUCAUUUACAAAACCGGCAUUUUGGGGACUGCUUUGAAAAACAAAAUGUAAUAGAGUGAGAAAGUAUGAAUAAUUUGUAAGCACUGUGAUAAUGCCAAAACCAAUUUACUGUUAGCCAGGAACAAUGCUAAUGGUAGUUUCAUCUAUUAAAAAAAACAGAAAACAGGAGUAUUGUGUGCUAGUAUAAGAAACAGCUUAGGUUGAAACAGACACAAACUAAGCACAAUAUCAAACUUGGACUGAAAUAUUUCACACUGAUUCCAGACUGUUUAGAGCGCAAUUUGUAAUCUGAGACAUCUUUAUUCUGUUUUGAAGUAAAACAUCGAUUCUUUAUUUCCAAAUAAGAAACUUCAAUAUUUCCUUGUUUUUUUCUUGUUAUUCAAAUAUUAUGCUUAGUCUUGUCAUCAUCAGCUGGAUCUUUCCCACACCCUACUGGAGUUUUAAGCAUUUUGAUAUGUUGACUUCAACAAAAAAUAGAAAACAUACCUGUUGCAUUGAUGCAUUUAUUUUGCAGGACAUUGUACUUUGCUAUUCUGUUUUUUACAGAGUAAUUACUCCAACAAUAACAUUUAGUUCAUUUAUAUAGAAGCCUUCACAACAAGGUAAUAUGAAGGCAAUUUACCAAAGAAAUCCCAGCUUUAUAGAUGGUAAUAAAUAGUCAGUUCUAUCAUUAAAACACAUUUAAAGUCACUUAUAGACAUUUAAAAUAGAUCGGUAAUAAAACAGUGCAGGCAAGUUCAGUUUAUUAUGACAAUUGGUAAGACCUUUUGUGUCUCAGGAAACCCAGCCAAAAGUAUUGAGUCUCUGACUUUGCAGCAAUCCCUGCUAGGGUGCUAGCAGGGUAAUUCCUCAGGCUGUCUUCAUGGCUGUCAUAGCUUGUCGACUGUAGCUGUAAACCAGCGUUUUGAUGGGCAUCACAACUUUAAUUUUAACUAUCCAUCGAUGGUUCAAAUGAGCCUUUUGUUCACAGUGAGUGAAAAGUUCAUUAGGCAUCUUUCAGCCAGCUAUCCAGCAGUGCGGAGCAACAUGUGGCAGGGACAAUGGUUUAUUAUUUCAUACUCCAUGCAGCUGGAAAAACUCUGAACACUCCAAGUACUUUAAAUAGGCUGAAAAGUGGGACGGACACUUGAGCUGUAACGUUUUAAAAUCAUUGUAUAUCAUUUACUGGCGUAAAAAAAGCUCAAGAGAUUUAAAUAUAUCGUCUAUAGUUUUAGUAAGCCUGGCACUAUUAUUGAACUGAAAGCAGAGAUGUGAAUACAUUUUUGUUGUCACAACUGUUUUAUAUUUGUAAUAAUUUUAUGUGCUGUUCCAGUUUUUAGUUUUUUUUCUUUGGUUGCUUGAACUAACACACCACAAAACCGACAUGAAUCUUUCGUGGUGUUCGGGAAGAACUAAGUGCUUAACAAUAUAUAAUAUUUUCCUUGAAAGUCUAUAAAUUUUCCUCCCUUAUGGGAGGUUUUUAUCUCUUGCUGAUGUCUCCAUCCAGCUUUUUCAUCUGUGUAAUUAUAUGUAGUUCUAUGCGGAAGAAUCUAAUAAAAUUAGCCAGUAAAGCACUAGCUCCUUAAAUGCAUUCAGAUGAGGCAACUGGCCUGUUUGUUUUUGUGUAAGCAAAUGCAUAUGGCCUUACACCCAUGUAUGUACAUACACAUAUGAGCCUGAGUUGUGUGAGUGUUUAGCCGGGUUGAUGAGGAUAUAAAGAACAUCAAAAGCGGGCACCAUGCCAGGUAGCAUGGAGGAGGCUUAGAGCACGCAUCCUUCGUUCUUAAGUGUAGGUGUGAGGCCUUCUUUGGAAGGGUAGGAAGAUGAAAUAUGCUGGUUUGACAAAUUCUUUGUAGCAUUUUUUUUAAAUAGAAGAUCAGAGGACCUGGCUGGUGUGAAACAAGACAUCCGUAUGCAUUUCUGUAACAGAGAGAUUUCUUCAUCCUUCCAUCUAUUGUGUGACAUGCUUCCUCUGCCAACACCAGCUCCCCCACUGAGCCUCCUCCUCCUCCUCUUUUUCCUUUUUUUUUUUUUUGCCCACCACCUCCUUACUCCUUAUUGAAAUUCUGCCUGGCAAAGAGACGCUGCCCAUUCUUGGCACAAAGCUCAGAGAGAGAGAGAGAGAGAGGGAUGGAGAGAGGCAGAGAGUGGGAAGGAAAAAACACACACACAAGAAUCUGCACCAAUCGUUGGGUCCCCCCCUUCUUUCUCCUCCUCCUCCUCCUCCCUCUCUUCCUCCUCCUCCUCCUCCUCCUCAGUGGCGUCUCUGUGCCAAGCAUUCAUCCCGUGUCGUGGACGAAGGGACCAGGCAAGUCAGUAGGUAUUUCCUUGCCUCUGCUUCCUGUAAUAAUCCGCUCCAAAUUUGAGGAGUUUUCUUGGCAGCUGAAUAUUCUGCGAGUACGUUUUUUUUUUGUUUUUUUGAGAGAGAGAGAUGGUUACUAAUUCAUUUGUAUAUUAGUUGAGGAGUAAAUCUUAACAAAUCCUGCCUCCAGGGGGGUGAGAGGAAGCUAAGGCCUUUUGUUACCAUGAUAUUUACUGAAUUUUGCAUGUAUUUCUUUUGAAGAGACAUUUUUUUUAAAACUGUGUUUGGACAGAAGGAAUAAUUCUAAUUGAAUCUUCGAGUUUGUAUAAUGUGCAGAUAAACAGACGUAAUUUGGUUUAGUACCAAUUGUAACAGCACACAUUUUUAAUUAUGAAAUAAAAAGAAAGAAAGGGAUUAAAUGACUUGCAACAAGAGCUUUACAGAAAUCUUUUACCAGGAUUUUAUUUUUUUCUAUCAGAUUGUCAUAACUUACAAGCAAAGCUUUAAUCUUUUUUACUCAAAAAGCAAUUUGUUGACUUUGAAGAUAUGGAAAGCUAUCUGCUGAGAAGAUCCUAAGAGAAACGAAUAAGAGUUGUAAGUCAUGCAGCUUUAAAAAAAAACAAACAAAAAAAAAACUUGUAUCUGUCAUCCAAAGACAAAUGAUUGCACUGAAACAGGAAAUUGUCUGCAGAAAAACAUUUCAUUCUGUCACAGCAGAGUGCUGAUAUCAGAGGGCAAGGGGGCAAAGAUUCAUCGUCCUUGACUCACUCCUAAUGCAAGCUUGAAGACUUGUAGCUUUUAUUCUGCAGCAACAGAUGCAAAGACAGUCAUAUGGACAAAUGAGAUUUAUACAUUUCGUCCCUCUCUCUUGUCUGAGACCCUGCCCAGCUGCCCAGUCGGGCUUUAGGGGGGCAUUUAUUCUGUAGCUGCUGACAGAAAAUGAUUUGCCUCAGCUGAGCUGGGCAUGCCCUCCUUUUCUUAUGUAGCUUAGAAAAUGUUUAUAGUCUCAGAAGAGCUUGUGUGACAGACAGGCUCUGGCCUUUACUUACCUUCUAGCCUUUCCCUUUCUAGAAUGGGACAGCAAUUAUUGGCAGUUUAACCCACAAGCAUUUAAUGUUUAGAAUCAAUUUAUUUGACUAAUUUUCCCCAAAUAAUCAGUUUGAGUUCCUCUCCAAGCCGUCUAGUCAGGGGGAUCGUUCUUGGCAAGCAAACGCAGUUCAUAGAUCUUCUACUAGCUCUUUUGCAGAGGUGGGCAUCAUGCCAGUUCCCUCACCACCACCCCCUCCACCCUGCCCCAUUUUUUUUUCCUGUCUGGUCUUCUGUGAUCAGGCUAGUGGGGUUUACAGCAUACUAACUGCAAACUAGUCUGGACCCAAGUCUCAGGGGUUGCGGCUGUAUGCUAAUUUAUGCAAGCGGUGCACCUUCUAACCCAUUCUGUGUCUUCUGAGGCCCCCCGGCCUGGCAUUUAGUCUGGUGCUUAUUAACUCUUCAGUUGCUGCCGUUUGAAUCUGUUGGCAUGCUUCGACCCCGAUCUUAGCCGAACGCGCCACAUGUGAGCGCUCCCUUCUCUAUGAACUGUCCAGCUGUCUAACAAGAAAUAGUUUCCUCUGCCUCAAUAUUGGUGAUUGAGCGUGUCGUCUGGGUCGGUUGGCUUCGGCUCACUGCUUGGCACAAGAUUCGUCCUCUGUAACUUGUGAUAGAACAGCUGUUCUCUCUUAAUUGUGAGGAUUGCAGGCUCAGGAAUGAAAAGGGAGAAGAAAAAAACAAAACAAAAAAACAAAAACGACACGCAAAGUGGAUCUCGUAAUGUUUUUAAGCAGACCUAAAAUGGCCGAAGCCUUGCAGGAUGCCAUUUUGUGUUUCCUCGUUGUGUUUUGGGGGCAGAAUCCCAGCUUUGUAUUCAAUCAGAGACAGCUGGUGGAAGCCGUUUUUUGCAGGCAUCUGUGUGUGCGUACCUCCGCCUGACAAGCAGCAGCCACUCCAACGCAGGGAUAGCCCCGCUGGAAUGAGCUCAGUUUUUGGCAAAACCGGAGAAGGAUUCCUGGCAGAGAAUCGAACAACUCUCUCUCUUUUUCUUUCCUCGUUCGAUCACAUGGCAGAGUCUCAGGAAGCUUGUGAGUUGUUUGCUGAGAUUUUGCACACUAGCGGUUACUUUCGCAUGUCCAUCUACCAUUAAAUUAGUUAUCCGUGAUUUAUUCUGUCGGGAACAAUGUUACAAAUUUCUCUUCAGCAACAAAAACGCUACACCGAUCAGUAAGAACAUGUGGUGCUCCUUUGGCCGUCUUUGGUUUGUAGUGAUUAUCGUUUUCUCAGUUUGUGGCUGUCGAAAAUUUAUCAUGAAGCAUCAACAGCUCCGAGAACCUGAUAUUUUCAAAGAAACUGCUUUAGGAACCGCCAAGAAAUUAGUUUCACUCUGUUCCACAAAGAAUUGUCUGUCAACAUUUCAUUGAAGAUGAACAUUUGUUGAAGUCACAUCCAGUAUCAUUUUCAAAAAUUAUUUAAUUAACAUUCUCUGUCUCUUUUUUUUUUCUAUAUCCUUGCAGGAGAGUGACAUUUGUGGAUCUUUGGUGUGGAUGCAGCAUAGAUUGUGUCCUUGGGGCUGAGGUAGUAGAUUGAAUAGUUGUGGGGUUCUUUAACCUCUUUUUCAGAUAACUAUGCAAUCUACUGUCUUUCCCAAGGAGACAGCUGAGCCAACCAGUCGUCAACUAUCGUCUAAAGAUGGACAAUGCUAUUGCCUUGUCAAAAUGCAUGCAGUAAUUGAUUUAAUAUAUAUAUAGAGGGUUAUUUUUAUUACUUCCUCAAUCAGUUUAUGUGCGGUGUGUUUGACUUGGGUUCUGUCAGGGUGAGGUAGUAGGUUGUAUAGUUUGGUAGGUGGGACUGCACCCUGCUGAGGUGAUAACUAUACAGUCUAUUGCCUUCCCUGAGGAGUCCACUGAACAGUUCAACACAAUCUCUUUGCAGGAAUGUUUUAUUUAUUUAUUUUUUUUCCAGACAACAUAAAGAAUAGGUAAAUGUCUUACAGGAGCAUUUAUAUGUAUUUUAUAGCUUUUUUUGUGGACAAAAGUUGUUACAUGCUUUAAAUAUGUACAUCUCAAUAAAACUAGUCUUUUCAAA